GACGAACGCUGGCGGCGUGCUUAACACAUGCAAGUCGAACGGAAAGGCCCUGCUUUUGUGGGGUGCUCGAGUGGCGAACGGGUGAGUAACACGUGAGUAACCUGCCCUUGACUUUGGGAUAACUUCAGGAAACUGGGGCUAAUACCGGAUAGGAGCUCCUGCUGCAUGGUGGGGGUUGGAAAGUUUCGGCGGUUGGGGAUGGACUCGCGGCUUAUCAGCUUGUUGGUGGGGUAGUGGCUUACCAAGGCUUUGACGGGUAGCCGGCCUGAGAGGGUGACCGGCCGCAUUGGGGGUGAUAGCGGCCCCAGACUCCACGGGGGGCAAGGGGGGGGGAUUAUGGCAAAAGGGGCGGAAGCGUGAUGCAGCAGCGCCGCGUGGGGGAGGACGGCCUGCGGGUUAAAAACCGUUUCCGCCGGGAAAGAAGCGGGAGCGACGUUAAUGGAUAAAGAAGCACCGGCUAACUCCGUC
rnacentral:rRNA from 1 species